AAGUUACUAGUAUAAUCCAGUAUAAAUAGCAGAGAGACCUAUAAGGCGACCGCAACGUCCGCCACCAAACAAAAAAUUUUUUUAAAGAAACGGCGCACAGAAGCUGACGAUAGGCGCACAAAUUCUUACAAAACAACCACAAAAAAAUAUUACAUAAUAUGUUCUAAGGCACUAACAGAAGAUUUUUACUGUCUCGGAAACGAAAGGAGCAUAAAACUUAGAGAUUGGCGCAGAAAUCAGCACAAAAUAGGCACAAAAUUAUGACGUAGGUUUCAAAUCGCUCCGAUUGUGAGGGGUGCUGCGAUAAGUUGACACCCACUUCACACAUUUUGAAUUUCUCGGAAACGAAAGGCGCACAAAAUUUUAGUAUGAGCGCUCAAAUCAGCACAAAACUAUAGUCUUAGUUUUAUGUCGGGACACGGAUUAAUUUCUUCGAAAUGAUAAACGCACAAAAUAUCCAUAAAUCAGCACAAAGCAACCACAGUAUUUUGGAAUGCCGAUUAAGGGGUACUAACUUAAACCACCUGAAAAAAUAAACAGUUCAAAGUCACAAAUUUAUUAAAUUAUGUACUACAAACACUGCGCAAAAUUAUUUGAUCUGUGUGAUAAUAAUCUUAAUCUCCCCGAAAGGUCGUCAAGUUGUUUAUUUAAGACCUUUUUGUACUUAGAGAGACCUGGUAUCAUUCCGAAUCUCUUAGUUUUUCUCACUGCUAUAAAUCAUGGCUGGCUUCACUAUAGAUUUAAAAACCCUUUCUUUAACCUCUUUCCUAAUCCUUCUGUCAUAUACAGUCUCCCGUUAUCUUUUUCCACUUCAUCCACUCUGCACCGCUUCAUACGAAUAGUAACAGGGUGUAGGUUUAUCGGUGACAGCCAGACGGGAUUGAGAACGCGUGGGUUGUGCGAUAGUUGGUGGAAAAUUCGUGAAGCUUACGCGUAACGAAGUACCUAUUUUCCGCUAGUUUUAAGUUUACUAGCUUUAAUGAACACUCGGUAUCAGGGGGCGCUUCGUUAUGAAAAGUGUCGCACCGAAAGUAUUGUUGGUUUUGGGAUUUGAAGAUGGAAGGUAAAGGUAAUUGAUUGAAUUUCUAAAGUUGUGUUUCAGCCGCCGUUACCGUAAACAAACGCUGUAAUUAAUUCGCCGUUUGCAACCGUUCCCGUCAGCUUGUUCAAUUAUUUUCGUUGCGCCCGAAAGCUCCUGUCAUUAUUAGAAGGCGAAGACAAAUUAAUAUUUUAGAUUUCAACCCUGUUAAGUUAUUUAAAAUAAAACGAACAUUAAAGCUGCAAGGUCAUUCAGGUUUGACAAAGACCUUUUGCCUACUUGCGAAAUUCCAAUGGGGAUUAAUUAGAAGUAUGAAUUUAGAAAUUUCAUCUCGCACAUUUCAGGGAGUAUAAUUGACUGUAGCUAAUUUGAUUAGUUGCAGUAAACAGCUUCCGGUUAAAUCAUCAAGCACAGAUUCUUAGGACGUCAGGAGACCGCAAAAUUAAUUAAAAAAGUUCUUAUCCGAAUACACUGGGCUGGUUCGGGAAUCCGGCGUUCCAUCCAUGGCAUGACCGAAUUUCAUGAAAAAUAAAGCACUUGUUUGAAGGGGAUCUUUUACCUUUGGUGUUCGCACGGCAAUAAUGACUGAUAGCGAGAAUUUCAAUCGCGGAGUAAGCGAAGCGGGCAAAAUGUUAAAAGUUAAGGGCGCAGCUACAGCUUACGGCGCGAUUCAUUUGCAGAUAUGUCGUGGUUUUCCUAUUUCCCGCAAAGAAAGAAACUGCGUAUACCAAAGAACGCUAACCAUGCUCUAGGGGAAUUUUCCACUACGAAGGAAUUUCUGGAGAACGACGCAACUUAAAAACCGUAAGAUUACCGUGAUAGAAAUUUCAAUGAGUAAAUUAAGGUUUCCAUUUUGUAUGCAUUUUAAUAAGACUUGACUUUUCACUGUUAGAUUAUUUAUUGCUGUCAAAUUAUAGUGUUAGUUAAGGAAUUUGUAACAAUAAUAAUCAGUUGUGUCUGAUGUUGUAAUUUGCGUUUUGUGAAAUGAUGGAAUUACUAAUUUGUAAAGUCUAUUAAAAAGAUGGCUAUAAUAGAAUAAUGUAGCUGCAUGAGCUGGUCUUCUGCAGCCUAUAUUCAAUCACUUUACUUCUUUCAGUUUAGAAAAGACGUGUUCGUGUUUUUUAUACCGAAUAUUAAUCGCAUGAAUUUUGCAUUUUUGUAUUCAGGCAAUAUCCAGACUAUCAAGGCCAGAACCAUAGACCAUAUCUCAAUAAUUAAGUGUGCUAAGACAAACGAUUCACAUAAAAUCACUUUUCAAUUCUGGCGUAAUAAAUCUCUAUUGUUGUAAAUUAGUAUUGCAAAUCAAUAUCAAUCACCAGUUGCUUGAAAUCGUAUAUCACGGUCCAUUUGCAAUCCAAAGUUUUUAACGUAGCGCUUCGGUUGUAGUAGCGUGUCAUUCAUUUUAAUGGUAUUAAUGUGAAGGUAUCUAAGUUUUUGUGGCCCAUCAGCACAAAUGAUGAUUUUUGGGCAACCCACGUGUUUCUACCAUCUCUAUCAGAAACUUGGACAACCUCUGAAGUAGCAAAAUGAUGAAGUAGCUGAAUUUAACGUGAUUAACCCCAUUUUUAAAAACCGAAGUGUCUAUAGAAAACAGGAGCGGGCCCAAAACAAUUCCCUGGGGCGCUCCCGAUUUUAUUGUAAUUGCCGGAAACAUUUACCCAAAACCACAUACCUUCAAGAAAACUUUGUAUUAGGCCGGCAGCAUGAGUACUAACCCCU